rnacentral:lncRNA from 1 species
CUGAGGCUCAAAUCCUUGGAAGACGCUUACCUCUCACAAAGUUUUAUCUUUACAGUUUUAUUAUUAUUACCUUUUAAAGCGUGAACAUGAGGCAGAAAUAACAGCCAGAGUUUCUAACUAGGGAAGAAGAGUGUUCUUCCUGCUCCCAGCCGUCCAUCAUGAAUUCCCGUUUACUUGGUAACGGGUCGCUUAAAAAAAUCCUGUUUAUAAAAAAUUGGAUGAAAAUGCUCUAAAUGGCGUCAUUGACUAGUGUGACUAUGGAUGUUUAAUUUUUUUCUAGAUCUCCUGAGCACGUAUUUUUACAAUGAAAAAAGGGGGAGUCGUUUAUUGUCAGAGGGAGGAGGGGCUAGACAGCAAGCAAAUUACAAUCCACGCAGCAGAUUUAAUAAGUGCUGUGUGUGAUGUUUGGCAAGCUUGGUUUAUAUCCGUCUACAAGGUUUGCGAACCCAUGUUGCCGAUUCUUUUCUGCUACAGAACUUUUCUCAUGGUACAACACAAAAGACCUGUGUUUACUUUUCAUUGAAAGGGAAGAAAGAGGAAAUGACAUUUUUGAAUUCUACUUCUAUUCUCGAGAGUGAUAAAGGUACUACGACACAGCUAUGAUGGAGGGAAUUCACCUAAGAACAAUAGCUUCAAUCCAGCACAGUCUUCUAGCAUGUUGGUAGCAUUGAAGAUAACAACAGUACAUCCUCCUUCAAAAUAAUGAUGCUAAAUAAUUUAAAUGGGAUGUGUUCAUUCUAAAGUAUUAUUUAGUAGAAGAAUGCAAUAUUCUACUUGCUGGCUAGAGCGAAGUAUUUCCAGAAAAUGUAAAAUGUCAUUUAAUCUUUCCAUAAACCCUCUUUCUAUCUUAUUUGGCUUGUGAAUUAGACUGUGAUUUGGCUGUGCUUUUUCUCUAUGUUAUCAUCCAAUAAAAAAUGGUAAAACACAAUGUGGCAAUUAAAGAUAUUGUUAAUAUGUAUGUGCAUGUCAUUAUCAUUUUAUAAUUUAGUAGACACAUUGAUAUUUUUCAUC